UCAUAUGCGCGGGACAUUUUCGCGGUUUUGAAUAGGUUUAGUUGCUAUACCGAGAAACUAUACCGAGAACAUGUUCUCGGUAGAGGGUUUAUAAAUAUACCCCACAGCCGCGAAGCCCCUUCUCCUUCCUCUCUGGUUUCUCUCAGUUUUCUCCGAGCCGUCCGCCUCCCUCUGCCAUUUUCCUCCGUUUUCCUCCCAAAAAGCUCGGUUUUAAGCCUCAAAAUUGCCAAGGGUGAAGGGAUUUCUGUGUAUUUGUUGAAGGUUGGGUAUUCGGUUUUUGUUGGACUAAAGAGAUUGCUAGCAAGAUAUUGAAGGCAUUGGACACACACGUGGAUUAAUUUGACCGUCAGAUAUCCCAGCUGAUUGUGAACGAGCGCCUCCAAAUAAACGUGGACGCCAUAAAGGAUUGAACACGCGGGAAAAGAGGGAACAGUUGGGGUGUCCUCUCCCUCUCGAGUGGGAUGUGCGGGGGAGAACAUAUAAAGAGAUCGAAGAGUACAGCUCAAAUUUCUCAAGAGAGCUCGGAUUACUUGUUCGACAGUACACAGAUCCGGAUUGUCCUCAAUGGUCAAAAGUACCAAAUGCCUCGAAAGAAAUAAUACUUGCACAUUUGGAAGUAAGUAGUUUAUGUAUUUUCCGACGCCCAGAAAUUACGGUAUUAAUUUCUUGCUAAAAUUAACUAUCUUAAUUAAAUAUAUUACUAACGAUAACUUUUUGCAGAAACGUUCUGUGAUCAACAAGGAAAAUAGAAGGAAACUGAAAGAGCUUAGCUAUGGAGGUUCUCAGUCAAUCCCAGCCC